UAGGGAAUAUUGGACAAUGGGGGCAACCCUGAUCCAGCCAUGCCGCGUGAGUGAAGAAGGCCCUCGGGUUGUAAAGCUCUUUUGUCCGGAAAGAAAAGCUUCGGGUUAAUACCCCGGGGUUCUGACGGUACCGGAAGAAUAAGCACCGGCUAACUUCGUGCCAGCAGCCGCGGUAAUACGAAGGGUGCAAGCGUUACUCGGAAUUACUGGGCGUAAAGAGUGCGUAGGUGGUUGUUUAAGUCUGAUGUGAAAGCCCUGGGCUCAACCUGGGAAUGGCAUGGGAAACUGGGCAGCUAGAGUGCGGUAGAGGGUAGUGGAAUUCCCGGUGUAGCAGUGAAAUGCGGAGAGAUCGGGAGGAACAUCUGUGGCGAAGGCGACUGCCUGGACCAGCACUGACACUGAGGCACGAAAGCGUGGGGAGCAAACA
rnacentral:rRNA from 1 species